UGCCAGCCGCCGCGGUAAUACAGAGGGUGCAAACGUUGCUCGGAUUUACUGGGCGUAAAGCGCGUGUAGGCGGACUCGCAAGUCGGUUGUGAAAUCCCUGGGCUCAACCUAGGAACUGCAUCCGAAACUGCUUGUCUUGAGUAAUGGAGAGGGUGGCGGAAUUCCCGGUGUAGAGGUGAAAUUCGUAGAUAUCGGGAGGAACAUCAGUGGCGAAGGCGGCCACCUGGACAUUUACUGACGCUGAGACGCGAAAGCGUGGGGAGCAAACAGGAUUAGAUA
rnacentral:rRNA from 1 species